GACGAACGCUGGCGGCGUGCUUAACACAUGCAAGUCGAACGGAAAGGCCCUGCUUUUGUGGGGUGCUCGAGUGGCGAACGGGUGAGUAACACGUGAGUAACCUGCCCUCGACUUUGGGAUAACUUCAGGAAACUGGGGCUAAUACCGGAUAGGAGCUCCUGCUGCAUGGUGGGGGUUGGAAAGUUUCGGCGGUUGGGGAUGGACUCGCGGCUCAUCAGCUUGUUGGUGGGGUAGUGGCUUACCAAGGCUUUGACGGGUAGCCGGCCUGAGAGGGUGACCGGCCACAUUGGGACUGAGAUACGGCCCAGACUCCUACGGGAGGCAGCAGUGGGGAAUAUUGCACAAUGGGCGGAAGCCUGAUGCAGCAACGCCGCGUGCGGGAUGACGGCCUUCGGGUUGUAAACCGCUUUCGCCUGUGACGAAGCGUGAGUGACGGUAAUGGGUAAAGAAGCACCGGCUAACUACGUG
rnacentral:rRNA from 1 species